rnacentral:piRNA from 1 species
UGAAACCACUUUGUGUGUCACCGUCCCCU